GAUGAACGCUGGCGGCGUGCCUAAUACAUGCAAGUCGAGCGAACGGACGAGAAGCUUGCUUCUCUGAUGUUAGCGGCGGACGGGUGAGUAACACGUGGAUAACCUACCUAUAAGACUGGGAUAACUUCGGGAAACCGGAGCUAAUACCGGAUAAUAUUUUGAACCGCAUGGUUCAAAAGUGAAAGACGGUCUUGCUGUCACUUAUAGAUGGAUCCGCGCUGCAUUAGCUAGUUGGUAAGGUAACGGCUUACCAAGGCAACGAUGCAUAGCCGACCUGAGAGGGUGAUCGGCCACAUUGGAGCUGAGACACGGUCCAGACUCCUACGGGAGGCAGCAGUAGGGAAUCUGCCGCAAUGGGCGAAAGCCUGACGGAGCAACGCCGCGUGAGUGAUGAAGGUCUUCGGAUCGUAAAACUCUGUUAUUAGGGAAGAACAUAUGUGUAAGUAACUGUGCACAUCUUGACGGUACCUAAUCAGAAAGCCACGGCUAACUACGUG
rnacentral:rRNA from 1 species